rnacentral:ncRNA from 2 species
UUUCGUGCUCCGGGAUCGGUGAAAGUCCGAACCGGCGGUCAUAGUCCGCGACCCGAAUCAUGCGCAGCCCGCUGUGCAUGACUUGGUUGAACCGGUGGAAUUCCGGCACCGACAGUCACAGUCUGGAUGGGAGAAGCACGAGA